rnacentral:lncRNA from 1 species
CAUGGGCAGAAAACCUCCAAAUUGUUCGAAGAUGCAGCGAGUCCAUCGCGUGGAAAGCUUGUGCUAAUCCAAAAGGAAUAAAAUGGCAGUACACAGGAAAGCCUAUAAAAGUUUCCAGCCCAAAUUGGAACCAAAUGAAGGAUUCCAGCCCAAGUAGAAACCAGCAUAUGGCAAUACACAGGAAAGCCUACAAAUGUUUCCAGCCCAAAUUGGAACCAAAUGAAGGAUUCCAGCCCAAGUAGAAACCAGCAAGUAGUACCACCUGAUUGGUGGUUUGAAGAUGUUUCAAUUCUCAGGAUUGAUCAC